rnacentral:rRNA from 1 species
CCUACGGGAGGCAGCAGUGAGGAAUAUUGGUCAAUGGGCGAGAGCCUGAACCAGCCAAGUCGCGUGAGGGAGUACUGCCCUAUGGGUUGUAAACCUCUUUUGUCGGGGAGCAAAAGCCGGACGUGUCCGGCUGUGAGAGUACCCGAAGAAAAAGCAUCGGCUAACUCCGUGCCAGCAGCCGCGGUAAUACGGAGGAUGCGAGCGUUAUCCGGAUUUAUUGGGUUUAAAGGGUGCGCAGGCGGAUUUUUAAGUCUGCGGGAAAAUCGUGGGGCUCAACCCCAUCCAGCCGGUGAAACUGGGGAUCUAGAGUGUGCGAGAGGUAUGCGGAAUGCGUGGUGUAGCGGUGAAAUGCAUAGAUAUCACGCAGAACCCCGAUUGCGAAGGCAGCAUACCGGUGCACAACUGACGCUCAGGCACGAAAGCGUGGGUAUCGAACAGGAUUAGAUACCCCUGUAGUC